rnacentral:tRNA from 1 species
ACCUGGCUGGCUCAAUCAGUAGAGCAUGUGACUGGAUCUCAGGGUUGUGAGUUCAAGCCCCAUGUUGGGUU